CCUACGGGAGGAGCAGUGGGGAAUUUGCACAAUGGGCGCAAGCGUAUCCAGCAAUGCCGCGUGCAGGAAGAAGGCCUUCGGGUUGUAAACUGCUUUUGUCCGGAGCGAAAAGGCUCUGUUUAAUACCUGGGGCUCAUGACGGUACCGUAAGAAUAAGCCCCGGCUAACUACGUCCCAGCAGCCGCGGUAAUACGUAGGGUGCAAGCGUUAAUCGGAAUUACUGGGCGUAAAGCGUGCGCAGGCGGUUUUGUAAGACAGGCGUGAAAUCCCCGGGCUCAACCUGGGAAUGGCGUUUGUGACUGCAAAGCUGGAGUGCGGCAGAGGGGGAUGGAAUUCCGCGUGUAGCAGUGAAAUGCGUAGAUAUGCGGAGGAACACCGAUGGCGAAGGCAAUCCCCUGGGCCUGCACUGACGCUCAUGCACGAAAGCGUGGGGAGCAAACAGGAUUAGAUACCCUGGUAGUCCACGCCCUAAACGAUGUCAACUGGUUGUUGGGUCUCUUCUGACUCAGUAACGAAGCUAAC
rnacentral:rRNA from 1 species